UACAGAGGUGCCAAGCGUUGUUCGGAAUUACUGGGCGUAAAGCGCACGUAGGCGGGUCGCUAAGUCGGGGGUGAAAUCCUGGAGCUCAACUCCAGAACUGCCUUCGAAACUGACGAUCUUGAGUUCGGGAGAGGUGAGUGGAACUGCGAGUGUAGAGGUGAAAUUCGUAGAUAUUCGCAAGAACACCAGUGGCGAAGGCGGCUCACUGGCCCGAUACUGACGCUGAGGUGCGAAAGCGUGGGGAGCAAACAGGG
rnacentral:rRNA from 1 species